CCUACGGGUGGCAGCAGUGGGGAAUAUUGCACAAUGGGGGAAACCCUGAUGCAGCGACGCCGCGUGAGUGAAGAAGUAUUUCGGUACGUAAAGCUCUAUCAGCAGGGAAGAAAAUGACGGUACCUGACUAAGAAGCCCCGGCUAACUACGUGCCAGCAGCCGCGGUAAUACGUAGGGGGCAAGCGUUAUACGGAUUUACUGGGUGUAAAGGGAGCGUAGACGGCAGCGCAAGUCUGGAGGGAAAUCCCAUGGCUUAACCAUGGAACUGCUUUGGAAACUGUGCAGCUAGAGUGCAGGAGAGGUAAGCGGAAUUCCUAGUGUAGCGGUGAAAUGCGUAGAUAUUAGGAGGAACACCAGUGGCGAAGGCGGCUUACUGGACUGUAACUGACGUUGAGGCUCGAAAGCGUGGGGAGCAAACAGGAUUAGAUACCCUAGUAGUC
rnacentral:rRNA from 1 species